rnacentral:rRNA from 1 species
CGUGCACUAGUCAGUCUGGACGUAGGUCAGCAGUAGAGAAUAUUGUGCAAUGUACGGCAGUAUGACACAGAGAGCACACGCCCUCUUGGCCUGUCCAACUAAGUGCCAGCAGACGCGGUUAGACUUAGGGGCCAAGCCUUUAUGAGCAAAGGGGCGUAAAGGGUGUGUAGGCCGACUGCCCCACCCCCCCCAAGGUGGUAAAUGGAAUUUUUCUGUAGCGGUAGAAUGUGCGGAUAGAAAAUAGAACCCCAAAAGCAGAAGCAAUUUACCGCGGGGCGGGAGGGGGGGCCCCUUGGGGCGCCCCCCCNGGUNNNNGGCUGAAACACGAGGGUGUGGGGAACAAACAGGAUUAGAGACCCUGGUAGUCCACACUGUAAACGAUGGAGAAAAUGCGAAUGCAGCCCCGAAAGGCAGCAAUCUCCCGCCUGAGUAGUACGAUCGCAAGAUUAAAAUUCAAAAAAUUUGGCUGUUCACCGUUUCGAUUAGAGGAGCGUGUAGUUUAAUUCGAUAAACCGCGAGAUACCUUACCCAAACUUGAAUCCUUGAGGAUUCCAAGGAAUCCUUAUGGACCGGUAUUGCAUGGCCGUCGUCAGUUCGUGUAUGAAACCUUAAACGGACCCAACCCGAGGAUUAGAUCUUAGCAUUCUUAGAAUGCUAGCAACCUUCUUCGAAGGUUACUCGAUUAUCUAGCCGCGGAUGAAGUCAGGUCUUAUGGUCCCAAUGUUUGGGGAUAAUAUGCGCUACAUUUUCUUAUACAAUGGGAAACCUGGGAGGUGAAACCCAAAAGUGAGAGUUCGGUAGGCUAUUGGAAGAUGGCCGAAAGUUGAAUUUAAUAGUAAUCGGAAAGUAUAGCGUUCCGGUGAAAAUGGUCUAGGUGUUAGCACAAAUCGCCCGUCACCUUAACUUAGGAUGAUGGUUCGGACGCCGCCGCGCCCCCACGGGCCCCGCGUAGCCUCACUCACGCACAUGGAACC